rnacentral:lncRNA from 1 species
AAUUGUUCUGUCCCACUUGCUUUGUUCCAGCCACUCUCGCCUCACUAUCUCCUAGCACUUUUCAUAUGGGCUCCACAUAUCUUCAUAGUGUAUUCUCGGGAAAGUCCUUUUGUUGUAGCUCGCUCCUCUUACUUUUUCUGCUACCUCCAUAACAAUGGGAUAAUGAUCGGAGCUCCAAGUUUCUAAGUGCACAGCUGGAAAUUCUUG